rnacentral:rRNA from 1 species
ACCGGCAGCUCAAGUGGUGGCCAUUAUUAUUGGGCCUAAAGCGUUCGUAGCCGGUUUGAUAAGUCUCUGGUGAAAUCCCGCAGCUUAACUGUGGGACUUGCUGGAGAUACUAUCAGACUUGAGGUCGGGAGAGGUUAGGGGUACUCCCAGGGUAGGGGGGAAAUGCUAGAACGCUGGGAGGACCACCUGUGGCGAGGGCGCCUAACUGGAACGAAACUGAUGGUAGGUAACGUAAGCCAGUGGUGCGGUAGA